GCUGGGUGUGGUGGCUCACGCCUGUAAUCCCAGCACUUUGGGAGGCUGAGGCAGGUGGAUCACCUGAGGUCAGGAGUUCAAGACCAGCCUGGCCAACAUGGUGAAACCCUGUCUCUA
rnacentral:SRP_RNA from 1 species